rnacentral:rRNA from 1 species
GACGAACGCUGGCGGCGUGCCUAAUACAUGCAAGUAGAACGCUGAAGAGAGGAGCUUGCUCUUCUUGGAUGAGUUGCGAACGGGUGAGUAACGCGUAGGUAACCUGCCUUGUAGCGGGGGAUAACUAUUGGAAACGAUAGCUAAUACCGCAUAACAAUGGAUGACACAUGUCAUUUAUUUGAAAGGGGCAAUUGCUCCACUACAAGAUGGACCUGCGUUGUAUUAGCUAGUAGGUGAGGUAACGGCUCACCUAGGCGACGAUACAUAGCCGACCUGAGAGGGUGAUCGGCCACACUGGGACUGAGACACGGCCCAGACUCCUACGGGAGGCAGCCGUAGGGAAUCUUCGGCAAUGGGGGCAACCCUGACCGAGCAACGCCGCGUGAGUGAAGAAGGUUUUCGGAUCGUAAAGCUCUGUUGUAAGUCAAGAACGAGUGUGAGAGUGGAAAGUUCACACUGUGACGGUAGCUUACCAGAAAGGGACGGCUAACUACGUG